GGGGAGGAUUCCCUUGUUUUGGGGAGAAUUCCCUUAUUUUGGGAAGGCUCCGCUGCCGUUUUCAGUCUGGGAAGGGAGCUUGAAAUUUUGGGGAGGAUUCCCCUCGUUUUGGGGAGGCUCCGCUGCUGUUUUCAGUCCACGAGGGGAGCCCGAAAUUUUGGGGAGGAUUCCCUGAUUUUGAGGAAGGUCUGCUGCCAUUUUCACUCCUUUUGGGGAGAAUUCCCCUCGUUUUGGGGAGGCUCUGCCGUGGCUUUCAGGAAGCGAGGGGAGCUCCCAGUUUUGGGGAGGAUUUUUUGAUUCUGGUGAGGGUCUGCUGCCAUUUUCACCCCUACUUUGGGGCAAAUUCCCUUGUUCCGGGUCAACCCUGCUGCUGUUUUCGCUCUUAUUUUGGGGCAAAUUCCCUCGUUCUGGGGUGCCCCUGCUGCUGUUUUCGCCCUUACUUUGGGGCCAAUUCCCUUGUUCUGGGGAGAUUUCUCUCAUUUUGGGGAGGCUCUGCUGGUUUUCAGGAGGCGAGGG
rnacentral:lncRNA from 1 species